AUCAGUAGGGGUUCUGAGAGGAAGGUCCCCCACAUGGCACCUGAGACACGGUCCAAACUCCUACGGGAGGCAGCAGUGAGGAAUAUUGGUCAAUGGGCGAGAGCCUGAACCAGCCAAGUAGCGUGCAGGACGACGGCCCUAUGGGUUGUAAACUGCUUUUAUAUGGGGAUAAAGUGAGUUACGUGUAGCUUAUUGCAGGUACCAUAUGAAUAAGGACCGGCUAAUUCCGUGCCAGCAGCCGCGGUAAUACGGAAGGUCCAGGCGUUAUCCGGAUUUAUUGGGUUUAAAGGGAGCGUAGGCCGCCCCUUAAGCGUGUUGUGAAAUGCCGCGGCUCAACCGUGGCACUGCAGCGCGAACUGGGGGGCUUGAGUGCACGCAACGCAGGCGGAAUUCGUGGUGUAGCGGUGAAAUGCUUAGAUAUCACGAAGAACUCCGAUUGCGAAGGCAGCUUGCGGGAGUGCGACUGACGCUGAAGCUCGAAGGUGCGGGUAUCGAACAGGAUUAGAUACCCUGGUAGUCCGCACAGUAAACGAUGGAUGCCCGCUGUGUGCCCUAGAGGUACGCGGCCAAG
rnacentral:rRNA from 1 species